rnacentral:rRNA from 1 species
AUUGAACGCUGGCGGCAUGCCUUACACAUGCAAGCCGAACGGCAGCGCGGACUUCGGUCUGGCGGCGAGUGGCGAACGGGUGAGUAAUACAUCGGAACGUACCCUGUUGUGGGGGAUAACUAGUCGAAAGAUUAGCUAAUACCGCAUACGACCUGAGGGUGAAAGUGGGGGACCGCAAGGCCUCAAGCAGCAGGAGCGGCCGAAGUCUGAUUAGCUAGUUGGUGGGGUAAAGGCCCACCAAGGCGACGAUCAGUAGCUGGUCUGAGAGGACGAUCAGCCACACUGGGAAUGAGACACGGGCCAGACUCCUACGGGAGGGAGCAGUGGGGAAUUUUGGACAAUGGGGGCAACCCUGAUCCAGCAAUGCCGCGUGUGUGAAGAAGGCCUUCGGGUUGUAAAGCACUUUUGUCCGGAAAGAAAUCGCGCUGGUUAAUACCUGGCGUGGAUGACGGUACCGGAAGAAUAAGCACCGGCUAACUACGUGCCAGCCGCCGCAGUAA